GGUUCUCACCAACUAACAAUAUUUUAAACCUUACUUAAACACAUCAAGAUUUAAUAAACAUCAUUGCAUCCCAAAAUAAAAUUUCAUAAAAAUCCCCCUAAUCAAACUAAAGUCUUAUUACAUUAUCCAUAAUUCACUUAUUACAAGGUCUCAAUACCACAACACAAUAAAAAAAUAAAACCUUUCCACUAAACCGCUCCAGGGGCAUCCUGAAGUCCUCCCUGUCCCAU
rnacentral:lncRNA from 1 species